rnacentral:rRNA from 1 species
GACGAACGCUGGCGGCGUGCUUAAUACAUGCAAGUCGAGCGAGGCCCAUCCAGUGGCAACACUGGGGAAGGCCGAGCGGCGAACGGGUGAGUAACACGUGAGCAACCUGCCCCGAAGUCUGGAAUAACAUCGGGAAACCGGUGCUAAUACCGGAUUGCCCCACCUGACCGCAUGAUCGGGUGAGGAAAGAUUUAUCGCUUCGGGAGGGGCUCGCGGCCUAUCAGCAGUUGGCGGGGUAACGGCCCACCAAGGCGUCGACGGGUAGCUGGUCUGAGAGGACGACCAGCCACACUGGGACUGAGACACGGCCCAGACUCCUACGGGAGGCAGCAGUAGGGAAUCUUGCGCAAUGGGCGAAAGCCUGACGCAGCAACGCCGCGUGGGGGAUGACGGCCUCGGUUCGUAA